AUACUUACCUGGCAGGGGAGAUACCAUGAUCAUGAUCACGAAGGUGUGGUUUCCCCAGGGCAAGGCUCACCCUUUGCACUCCGGGUGUGCUGACCUCUGCGAUUUCCCCAAAUGUGGGAAACUCGACUGCAUAAUUUGUGGUAGUGGGUGACUGCGUGCGCACUCUCCCC